rnacentral:rRNA from 1 species
UGGCCGGGUACAAUGCGAAGCGAAGCAGCGAUGUGAAGCAAAUCGCACCAAAGCCGGUCCCAGUUCGGAUAAGAGGCUGAAACUCGCCUCUUUGAAGUCGGAAUCGCUAGUAAUCGCAGAUCAGCAUGUUGCGGUGAAUACGUUUCCUGGUCUUGUACACACCGCCCGUCAAACCAUGAGAGUCGCCAACACCCGAAGUCCGCUUUGCGGCCUAAGGUGGGGGAGAUGAUUGGGGUUAAGUCGUAACAAGGUACC